rnacentral:misc_RNA from 1 species
UACUGCCUCGCCAUCUGCGCCGCCGAAAAGCGCUCCUCAAAGCGCCUUCAAUGAUUUCAGGGACCGACCCGCAGCGGAAGGCGAGGACGGGCGUGCCGCAGGCCAUCGCCUCAAUCAUCACCAAACCGAAAGGCUCAGGCCAAUCGAUCGGGAACAGUAAGGCGGCGGCCUGGCCCAAAAAUUCGCUCUUGGCGCUCUCGUUGAU